AUUGAACGCUGGCGGCAUGCUUUACACAUGCAAGUCGAACGGUAACAGGCCGCGAUUUGCUGACUGAUGUCAGACGGGUAAGUGAGGCAUCGGAACGGGCCCAGUCCUUAUGGAUAACUACUCGAUAGGGGAGCUAAUACCGCAUACGAUCUAAUGAUUAGAGCGGGAGACCUUAAUGGCGCGCGCGAGUUGUGCGGCCGCUGUCAGAUUAGUUAGUUGGUGGGGUAACGGCUUACCAAGGCAACGAUCUGUAGCGGGUCUGAGAGGAUGACCAGCCACACUGGGACUGAGACACGGUCCAGACUCCUACGGGAGGCAGCAGUGGGGAAUCUUGGACAAUGGGCGAAAGCCUGACGGAGCAAUGCCGCGUGAGGGAAGAAGGUCUUCGGGUCGUAAAACGCUGUUGUUAGGAAAGAAAAGGCUUUGGUUAAUCCACGCAGCUAUUGACGGUACCGUAAGAAAAAGCAACGGCUAACUACGUG
rnacentral:rRNA from 1 species